rnacentral:rRNA from 1 species
UGAGUUUGAUCAUGGCUCAGAACGAACGCUGGUGGCGUGCUUAACACAUGCAAGUCGAUCGCGAACGUCCUUCGGGACAAGUAGAGUGGCGCAUGGGUGAGUAACGCGUGGGUAAUCUGCCCUUGAGUAGGGGAUAACUUCGGGAAACUGAAGCUAAUACCGUAUAACGAUGCUUUCCUACGGGAGAGUAUACAAAGGUGGGGAUCUUCGGACCUGCCGCUUGAGGAUGAGCCCGCGUACCAUUAGGUAGUUGGUGGGGUAAUGGCCUACCAAGCCGAAGAUGGUUAGCUGGUCUGAGAGGAUGAUCAGCCACACUGGGACUGAGACACGGCCCAGACUCCUACGGGAGGCAGCAGUGGGGAAUCUUGCGCAAUGGGCGAAAGCCUGACGCAGCAACGCCGCGUGUGUGAAGAAGGCCCUCGGGUCGUAAAGCACUAUAAAGUGAGAAGAGCAGGUAGUGGUUAAUACCCUCUGCCCCGACGGUAUCACUAGACAAAGCACCGGCUAACUCCGUGCCAGCAGCCGCGGUAAUACGGAGGGUGCAAGCGUUGUUCGGAAUUA